CACUCUGAUUUUUGUCACUGAGUGUCUAGAUCUCUCUAAGAUCACUACUAUGUCACAUUGGUUACUCAUGUAUCCUAUAUUUAUUGCAAAUUAUUCACUCUUUGAGUGUGGAAUACAUAGUUAAUACACCUCAUUAUUCUUUCUCUCGUUCUUCUCUCUCUCUCUCAGUUUCUUUUGCAAUCUUUGUGUGAAUUUAUACUAGUUAGGUUCUCUAUGUAGGUUUUAGAAAAACUUCACAACAAGUAAUGAUUAAUAGGGACUAUUAGGGGCAUUCGUAUUUCUUUGUCUAAGGUGAAAUUCUUGGAUUUAUGAAAGACGAACCAUCGUGAAAGAAUUUGGCAAGCAUGUUUUCAUUAUUGAAGAAUGAAAGUUAGGGGCUCGAAGAUGAUUAUAUAUCGUCCUAGUCUCGACCAUAAAUGAUGUUGAACAUGGAUCAAUGGAUGUUGCUCUAAGGACUCCUCCAACAACUCAUAGUGUUUGGGUUUCAGGCAAAGUAUUGUUGUAAGACUGAAACUUAAAGGAAUUGAUGGAAAGGCACCACUAAGAGUGGAGCCUGUGGCUAGGAAAACUUACUAGGUACAAACAUAGUAAGGAUUGAUAGAUUGAGAUCUCUUUCUUGAUUCUAUUGGUGGUGGUGCAUAAACGUUCUUAUUUGUUGGAGCGAUAUUUUUGGUUAAUUUCGAUAAAGAA
rnacentral:ncRNA from 1 species